UGCUGAACUGUUCGGGUGCAGAUUCCGCUGUGGGCUUGCCAAAAGCGGACUGUGUGGUCGUACCCGGCCGUGGCUAAAAUGACCGGGUCGCUGCCCACGGUCCCCUGAUUCACGUUCAUGCUUGUCUUCUGGCUGCCACUGUCGAAUUAUGGUUUGUGGUGAAGACACGUCCGCCAGCAUCUCACUGAAUGCCGAGCAAUCGUGAUCCGGAGGAAGAUCACGGAGCAGCGGUACAGGAAGCAAAAGCGACCUCAUGACAGGCGACCCGGCUACUCCUCAAAAACCUCAGUGUCAUUGCCAAGCCACCGCCGCAAGGAAUGCGGCCUGCAGCUGAGCCAGAAAGCACCACUCAUGCAACCGACGUUCGCAUUCGAUCACAAAAACAUGGACGGCAGAUGAAGUGUGUGGCGUCGGCGUUAUUUUCAGCCUCCCCUCGACCCAGUCUUUGACCCCCGGCCGGUUCCUCUGGAGGCUGGUGGCCUCCUUCCCCCGCAUGGACCUCCUCUGUAACCUUGUUGUGGUUGCGAGUGAUAGCGAACACCCAGCUGUCG